rnacentral:rRNA from 1 species
AUUGAACGCUGGCGGCAUGCCUAACACAUGCAAGUCGAACGAGUGGCGGACGGGUGAGUAAUGUCUGGGAAACUGCCCGUUUGAGGGGGAUAACUACUGGAAACGGUAGCUAAUACCGCAUACCAUCGGAUGUGCCCAGAUGGGAUUAGCUAGUAGGUGGGGUAACGGCUCACCUAGGCGACGAUCCCGAGCUGGUCGGAGAGGGUGACCCGCCACACUGGAACUGAGACACGGCCCAGACUCCUACGGGAGGCAGCAGUGGGGAAUAUUGCACAAUGGACGCAAGCCUGAUGCAGCAACGCCGCGUGUAUGAAGAAGGCCUUCGGGUUGUAAAGUACUUGCAGCGAGGAGGCGUUACUCGCAGAAGAAGCACCGGCUAACUCCGUGCCAGCAGCCGCGGUAAUUC